rnacentral:rRNA from 1 species
AGAAUCAACGCUGGCGGCGUGCCUAACACAUGCAAGUCGAACGAGAAAGUGGAGCAAUCCAUGAGUAAAGUGGCGCACGGGUGAGUAACACGUGACUAACCUACCUUUUAGUGGGGGAUAACCUAGGGAAACCUGGGCUAAUACCGCAUAAUACUUACGAGUCAAAGCAGCAAUGCGCUGAAAGAGGGGGUCGCGGCCGAUUAGCUAGUUGGCGGGGUAAUGGCCCACCAAGGCAGUGAUCGGUAUCCGGCCUGAGAGGGCGCACGGACACACUGGAACUGAAACACGGUCCAGACUCCUACGGGAGGCAGCAGUGGGGAAUUUUGCGCAAUGGGGGAAACCCUGACGCAGCAACGCCGCGUGGAGGAUGAAGUCCCUUGGGACGUAAACUCUUCGAUCGGGACGAUAAUGACGGUACCGGAGAAGAGCCCGGCUAACGUCGCGCCAGCAGCCGC